AUUGAACGCUGGCGGCAGGCCUAACACAUGCAAGCCGAGCGAACCUAGCUUGCGAGGUGAGCGGCGAACGGGUGAGUAACCAGUAGGAAUCUGCCCGAUAGUGGGGGACAACGUCUCGAAAGGGACGCUAAUACCGCAUACGCCCUACGGGGGAAAGCAGGGGAUCGUCGGAUCCAGCGAUAUCGUAAGUGCCGGAGUAGGUUUAGCUAGUUGGGGGGUAAAGGCCCACCAAGGCGACGAUCCGUAGCUGGUCUGAGAGGAUGAUCAGCCAAACCGGAACUGAGACACGGUCCGGACUCCUACGGGAGGCAGCAGUGGGGAAUAUUGGACAAUGGGGGCAACCCUGAUCCAGCCAUGCCGCGUGUGUGAAGAAGGCCUUCGGGUUGUAAAGCACUUUAAGAGGGGAGGAAGGUUCGUUGGCUAAUACCCAGCGGAAUUGACGUUACCCUCAGAAUAAGCACCGGCUAACUCCGUGCCAGCCGCCGCCGUAAGAC
rnacentral:rRNA from 1 species